UUGGAGGGCAAGUCUGGUGCCAGCAGCCGCGGUAAUUCCAGCUCCAAUAGCGUAUAUUAAAGUUGUUGCAGUUAAAAAGCUCGUAGUUGAACUUCGGGAUCAAUGGGUCGGUCGUGCCCUCGGUACGUACUGGUUUUUAUUGGUUCUCACCUUCUAAUGAACCAUAAUGUCAUUCAUUUGAUGUUAUGGGGAAUUAGGACUGUUACCUUAGAAAAAAUUAGAGUGUUUAAAGCAGGCUAACGCUUGAAUACAUUAGCAUGGAAUAAUGAAAUAGGACAUCGCAUUCUAUUUUGUUGGUUUCUAGGAUCGAUGUAAUGAUUAAUAGGGAUAGGUUGGGGGC
rnacentral:rRNA from 1 species